AUGACCAUUAACAAGGCACAAGGACAAACUAUACCAAAUGUUGGUGUAUACCUCCCUGAACCGGUAUUUUCACACGGGCAGCUCUAUGUUGCUCUUUCUAGAGCUACAUCUAGGAGCAAUAUGAAGAUUCUUACUGUACCGGAUAAAAAAAAGGAAGGCCAGUCCAACCCCACUUCAAAUAUUACAAAGAACAUAGUCUACAAAGAAGUUCUCGGCAUCUAG
rnacentral:rRNA from 1 species